rnacentral:rRNA from 1 species
GAUGAACGCUGGCGGCGUGCUUAACACAUGCAAGUCGAACGAAGCUGUUAAAAGGAAGUCUUCGGAUGGAAUUUUAACAGACUUAGUGGCGGACGGGUGAGUAACGCGUGGAUAACCUGCCUUAUACAGGGGGAUAACGGAGAGAAAUUUCCGCUAAGACCGCAUAAGACCACAGCACCGCAUGGUGCAGGGGUAAAAUAUUAAUAGGUAUAAGAUGGAUCCGCGUCCGAUUAGCUUGUUGGUGAGGUAGAGGCUCACCAAGGCGACGAUCGGUAGCCGGCCUGAGAGGGUGAACGGCCACAUUGGGACUGAGACACGGCCCAAACUCCUACGGGAGGCAGCAGUGGGGAAUAUUGGACAAUGGGGGAAACCCUGAUCCAGCGACGCCGCGUGAGUGAAGAAGUAUUUCGGUAUGUAAGGCUCUAUCAGCAGGGAAGAAAAUGACG